GCUGCUCAGGUAAUCACACACCGCUACGAGGUGAGUAGCAGGCAACGAUCUUAUGAUCGGCUAAGAUGUGAUA
rnacentral:ribozyme from 1 species